rnacentral:rRNA from 1 species
UACGUAGGGGGCAAGCGUUGUCCGGAAUUAUUGGGCGUAAAGAGCGCGUAGGCGGUCCGAUAAGUCGGCUGUGAAAGUCCAGGGCUCAACCCUGGAAAGCCGGCCGAUACUGUCGGACUAGAGUCCGGAAGAGGCAAGUGGAAUUCCCGGUGUAGCGGUGAAAUGCGCAGAGAUGUGGAGGAAUACCGAUGGCGAAGGCAGCCC